rfam:Danio rerio chromosome 21, GRCz11 reference primary assembly.
CUUGUCCUCAUUUGUAAGUCGCUUUGGAUAAAAGCGUCUGCUAAAAAUGACUAAAU